rnacentral:rRNA from 1 species
UGCGUAGGCGGUAGGGCAAGUCAGAUGUGAAAGCCCGUGGCUCAACCACGGGAUUGCAUUUGAAACUGCUUUACUAGAGUGCAGGAGAGGAAAGCGGAAUUCCUAGUGUAGCGGUGAAAUGCGUAGAUAUUAGGAAGAACACCAGUGGCGAAGGCGGCUUUCUGGACUGUAACUGACGCUGAGGCACGAAAGCGUGGGGAGCGAACA